rnacentral:rRNA from 1 species
CCUACGGGUGGCAGCAGUGGGGAAUAUUGGGCAAUGGGCGCAAGCCUUACCCAGCAAUACCGCGUGAGUGAAGAAGGUCUUCGGAUUGUAAAGCUCUUUGAUCAGGGACGAACAGCUGACGGUACCUGAAGCACCAGCCCCGGCUCACUACGUGCCAGCAGCCGCGGUAAAACGAAGGGGGCGAGCGGUGGCCGGAAUGCCUGGGCGUAAAGGGUGCGUAGGGGGCAUAAUGAGUUAGAAGGGAAAUACCCAGAGCUUAACUCGGGUGCUGCUGCUAAGACUGUUGGGCUUGAGUGCGGGAGAGGUUGAUGGAAUUCCUGGUGUAGCGGUGGAAUGCGUAGAUAUUAGGAGGAACACCAGAGGCGAAGGCGAUUAACUGGACCGUAACUGACGCUGAGGCACGAAAGUGUGGGUAGCAAACAGGAUUAGAUACCCUUGUAGUC